UUUAUUGGAGAGUUUGAUCCUGGCUCAGGAUGAACGCUGGCGGCGUGCCUAAUACAUGCAAGUCGAGCGAAUGGAUUAAGAGCUUGCUCUUAUGAAGUUAGCGGCGGACGGGUGAGUAACACGUGGGUAACCUGCCCAACAGA
rnacentral:rRNA from 1 species